UUUAUGGAGAGUUUGAUCCUGGCUCAGGAUGAACGCUGGCGGCGUGCCUAAUACAUGCAAGUCGAGCGAACGGACGAGAAGCUUGCUUCUCUGAUGUUAGCGGCGGACGGGUGAGUAACACGUGGAUAACCUACCUAUAAGACUGGGAUAACUUCGGGAAACCGGAGCUAAUACCGGAUAAUAUUUUGAACCGCAUGGUUCAAAAGUGAAAGACGGUCUUGCUGUCACUUAUAGAUGGAUCCGCGCUGCAUUAGCUAGUUGGUAAGGUAACGG
rnacentral:rRNA from 1 species